rnacentral:rRNA from 1 species
UACGGGGGGGGCAAGCGUUGUUCGGAAUUACUGGGCGUAAAGGGUUUGUAGGUGGCUUGCUAAGUCAGACGUGAAAUCCCUCAGCUUAACUUGGGAACUGCGUCUGAGACUGGCAAGCUUGAGUGCAGGAGAGGAACGCGGAAUUCCAGGUGUAGCGGUGAAAUGCGUAGAUAUCUGGAGGAACACCGGUGGCGAAGGCGGCGUUCUGGACUGCAACUGACACUGAAAAACGAAAGCCAGGGGAGCAAACGGG